UACGUAGGGUGCAGGCGUUAAUCGGAAUUACUGGGCGUAAAGCGUGCGCAGGCGGUCUGCUAAGAGAGGUGUGAAAUCCCCGGGCUUAACCUGGGAACUGCGCUUCUAACUGGCAGGCUAGAGUGUGGCAGAGGGGGGUAGAAUUCCACGUGUAGCAGUGAAAUGCGUAGAGAUGUGGAGGAAUACCCAAUGGCGAAGGCAGCCCCCUGGGAU
rnacentral:rRNA from 1 species